AAUUUAUCAGGCCCAGAAGGGAGGCUUUUUAGCCCUGUGAAGUGUUCACAUCCGGCCUCCGAGUGGCCAGGGCUGUAAGCAGAGCCGCGGGUUAUUUCUUGUGGCUGACCUGAACUGGACGCCGCAAUGAACCAGACAAGGGCCUCUUCGUCAUUGCUCCCUACUGCUCUCGGAGUCCCAACAUUUGGAGUCAUUGUUCGCCAAGAGGGACUGGAAAUGCAAUCAUAGCCUGUCUAAUGCAGCUUUUGAUGUUACGCUUAAAGACAGCUGAGUUUGUGUACCUCAGAAAAUAGACUACAAAAAGCAUUGAGGAUGGGUUUAAUUCUCAGGCAACUUUUCAAAGAUUGUCGAAAAACUGUACCUCCUCUUGUUAGAAGAUACACAGCAAAGUUUUGGCCUUUUCCAAGAACUUGACAGUUCCUCCGUAUGCCAGAGGAUUAGAAGAUUCCAGAGGCAAGAGCCAGCCCCGGGAGAGGACAGCUGCACCUGCGACAUGUUGCACAUUCCCCCCCAAGUGUCAUCCCCUUCAAUGAGUCAUUUAUUUGUGUGAUGGCAUUGUUAUUCUCUGUUAAAAUACAAAUAACCUUGGAAAGGUCA